rnacentral:rRNA from 1 species
CCUUGAGCAACCUACCCCCAUCAGGGGGAUAGCCUCUCGAAAGAGAGAUUAACACCGCAUAAUAUCAACAGUUCGCAUGUUCAGUUGAUUAAAUAUUUAUAGGAUGGAGAUGGGCUCGCGUGACAUUAGCUAGUUGGUAGGGUAACGGCUUACCCAGGCGACGAAGUCUAGGGGCUCUGAGAGGAGAAUCCCCCACACUGGUACUGAGACACGGACCACACUCCUACGGGAGGCAGCAGUAAGGAAUAUUGGUCAAUGGGCGGAAGCCUGAACCCGCCAUGCCGCGUGCAAGAAGACUGCCCUAUGGGUUGUAAACUGCUUUUGUCCAGGACUAAACCUAAAUACCAGUAUUUAGCUGAAUGUACUGGAAGAAUAAAGAUCCCCUACACUCCGUGCCACCAGCCCCGGUAAUACGGAGGAUCCUAACGUCUCUCCCGGCUUUUUUCCGUUUCAACCGGUGGCUACGCUGCCUGUUAAUUUCCCGAGAGACAACCGUGUCUCUACUAUCGCAGUGGCCUUUUAUACAGAUGUGCAUG